rnacentral:rRNA from 1 species
AUCCUGGGGCUGUAGUCGGUCCCAAGGGUUGGGCUGUUCGCCCAUUAAAGCGGUACGCGAGCUGGGUUCAGAACGUCGUGAGACAGUUCGGUCCCUAUCCGUCGUGGGCGUAGGAAAUUUGAGAGGAGCUGUCCUUAGUACGAGAGGACCGGGAUGGACAUACCUCUGGUGUACCAGUUGUCGUGCCAACGGCAUAGCUGGGUAGCUAUGUAUGGACGGGAUAAGUGCUGAAAGCAUCUAAGCAUGAAGCCCCCCUCAAGAUGAGAUUUCCCAACUUCGGUUAUAAGAUCCCUCAAAGAUGAUGAGGUUAAUAGGUUCGAGGUGGAAGCGUGGUGACACGUGGAGCUGACGAAUACUAAUCGAUCGAAGACUUAAUCAAUUU